rnacentral:rRNA from 1 species
UAGGGAAUCUUCCACAAUGGGCGCAAGCCUGAUGGAGCAACGCCGCGUGAGUGAAGAAGGUCUUCGGAUCGUAAAACUCUGUUGUUAGAGAAGAACACGAGUGAGAGUAACUGUUCAUACGUUGACGGUAUCUAACCAGCAAGUCACGGCUAACUACGUGCCAG